rnacentral:tRNA from 1 species
GGGCCCAUAGCUCAGAGGUUAGAGCAGGCGACUCAUAAUCGCUUGGUCGCAGGUUCGAAUCCUGCUGGGCCCACCG